ACGAGAUGUUAAAAUGACACUAUUGAAAACGCGCCAUUAAAACCAAGACGAAGGCCGCUCGUACGGAGACGGCGUUACAGCCAUGGCCGGAGGUUUGCCCACUUUACCAAGCAGGGAAUACUGAUGGCCAGUGGAAGUCUGGACCCAAUUUUCCACAUCCCUAUGAAGAGGAAAUAUGAGGUCACCACGGAACAUGUCCUCUCAAACCCACUCGACGUGAAGCCAUGUGGAGACGAGUCUUCUUCGGAGGGGAUUGGCAUUUUGCAGG